rnacentral:rRNA from 1 species
CCUACGGGAGGCAGCAGUGGGGGAUAUUGCACAAUGGGGGAAAGCCUGAUGCAGCGAAGCCGCGUGAGUGAAGAAGGAUUUCGGUAUGUAAAGCCCUAUCAGCAGGGAAGAAAAUGACAGUACCUGUCCCAGAAGCCCUGGCUAACUACGUGCCAGCAGCCGCGGUAAUACGUCGGGGGCAAGCGUUAUCCGGAUUUACUGGGGGUAAAGGGAGCGUAGACGGUUAUGUAAGUAUGGAGUGAAAGCCCGGGGUCCAACCCCGGGACUGCUUUGGAAACUGGGUAACUGGAGUACAGGAGGGGCAGGCGGAAUGCCUGGUGUAGCGGUGAAAUGCGUAGAUAUCAGGAGGAACACCGGCUGCGAAGGCGGCCUGCUGGACUGAAACUGACGUUGAGGCUCGAAAGCGUGGGGAGCAAACAGGAUUAGAUACCCCAGUAGUC